rnacentral:rRNA from 1 species
CGAAGCCUGACGGAGCAAUACCGCGUGAGGGAAGAAGGCUUUUGGGUUGUAAACCUCCUUUGUCAGGGAAGAAGAAUUGACGGUACCUGAAGAAAAAGCAUCGGCUAACUCCGUGCCAGCAGCCGCGGUAAUACGGAGGAUGCAAGCGUUAUCCGGAAUCAUUGGGCGUAAAGGGUCCGCAGGUGGCGAAUAAAGUCUGCUGUUAAAGACCGGGGCUAAACUCCGGAAAGGCAGUGGAAACUGAUUAGCUAGAGUACGGUAGGGGUAGAGGGAAUUCCCAGUGUAGCGGUGAAAUGCGUAGAUAUUGGGAAGAACACCGGUGGCGAAAGCGCUCUACUAGGCCGAGACUGACACUGAGGGACGAAAGCUAGGGUAGCGAAAGGGAUUAGAUACCCCUGUAGUCUUAGCUGUAAACGAUGGAUACUAGGCGUAGCUUGUAUCGACCCGAGCUGUGCCGAAGCUAACGCGAUAAGUAUCCCGCCUGGGGAGUACGCACGCAAGCGUGAAACUCAAAGGAAUUGACGGGGGCCCGCACAAGCGGUGGAGUAUGAGGUUUAAUUCGAUGCAACGCGAAGAACCUUACCAGGGCUUGACAUGUCGCGAAUCUGGCGGAAACGUUAGAGUGCCUUAGGGAACGCGAACACAGGUGGUGCAUGGCUGUCGUCAGCUCGUGUCGUGAGAUGUUGGGUUAAGUCCCGCAACGAGCGCAACCCUCGUCCUUAGUUGCCAAUAUUAAGUUAGGCACUCUAGGGUGACUGCCGGGGACAACUCGGAGGAAGGUGGGGAUGACGUCAAGUCAGCAUGCCCCUUACGUCCUGGGCGACACACGUACUACAAUGGUUGGGACAAAGGGCAGCAAGCUCGCGAGAGUAAGCGAAUCUCAUCAAACCCAGCCACAGUUCAGAUUGCAGGCUGCAACUCGCCUGCAUGAAGUAGGAAUCGCUAGUAAUCGCAGGUCAGCAUACUGCGGUGAAUUCGUUCCCGGGCCUUGUACACACCGCCCGUCACACCAUGGAAGCUGGCUACGCCCGAAGUCGUUACCCUAACCCGGUUUUGGGAGGGGGAUGCCGAAGGUAGAGCUAGUGACUGGGGUGAAGUCGUAACAAGGUAGCCGUACCGGAAGGUGUGGCUGGAUCACCUCCUUU